UGAAACAUAACAUUACAAUUUCGUUUUAGUUUUAGUUUUUGCAGGGGGUUGUUGCAAAUAUGAAAUUAACCAUUUUCAUGUUAUAUGUUAAUUAUACAAAUAAAGGCAAGCUGAAGACGUUUCAUACAGAAAAAAUACUUUUACUAUCUUACUAAAUGGAUCAAUUUGACCCGUAACGUAACAGGAGGGUUAAGUCGAUGCACAUUUAUUACCUUUGUACUGAAUGUAGUUACAAUUAAUGUGCACCGAUAUAGUAAUUGUAAGCUCAUGUUGUGUUUUGUUGCUUUCUGUUUUACAGCAUCCAACACAUGUCCAGGCCACUCCUGACCCUUCACGGUUUGGCCAGUGUGGUGUUUUCAAAUGCCCCUGCUUCAGUUUUGACACUGACCAGCGAUUUAAUAACAGCCUACAUCUACAAAACCAUAUCAAACAAGCAGUCGAGAAUAACGGAAAGUUCAGCGUGUUGAACGUGUGACUGAUGAAGGAGAUAGAAUGGGCAACGUCUCCUUUGAACAGAUGCCCCUUAUUCUCAUAGAUACAGUUCUGGAAGAGGGUGACAAAGCUUUUUUAAAGCUGUCACUGGUUUGUCGUCUCUUCCGGGACAUUGUUUGGACAACAAUCAUUCCGGGCCCGGGCACAUUUCGAGUGGCUUGACAGUGUAGUGCCAUGAAAACAUCACAGUGCUGCAUGUAAAGACGAGUUUCGCAGGAUGUACGAACUGCAGUGCUGCCAGAACUGUCAAGAAACUUAUAAAGACUACAUACUGGGCUACGUUGGGCAUGGGAGACGAGGGGAGCUUGUGGCAUUUUACAGCGAAAACGAGCACCCUGGAUUCUGCAGCCAGCUUCAUGAGUGGCUGGGUGUGUGAGUGGCUGGGUGUGUGAGUGGCUGGGUGUGUGAGUGGCUGGGUGUGUGAGUGGCUGGGUGUGUGAGUGGCAGGGUGUGUGAGUGGCAGGGUGUGUGAGUGGCAGGGUGUGUGAGUGGCAGGGUGUGUGAGUGGCAGGGUGUGUGAGUGGCAGGGUGUGUGAGUGGCUGGGUGUGUGAGUGGCUGGGUGUGUGAGUGGCUGGGUGUGUGAGUGGCUGGGUGUGUGAGUGGCUGGGUGUGUGAGUGGCUGGGUGUUGCAUUUUUAAAUAAAGACUUCUGUAUUUGUUUGACCAAAGCAUGUAACCAAACAUUUUAAAGGCUAAUGUGCCAAUAAAUGCCAAUAAAGAUAUUGUAUUAGCUUGGACAAAGUGUUUGUAAAUGGAGUUAAUUUCCCUGGGAACUACUGUCAGCCAUACAAAAUUGGGAGAGGAGAAGCAGGAAAGGGAUAUUAUUAUUAUUAUUAUUAUUAUUAUUAUUAUUAU